UGACAGAGUAACAAACCCAGCCAAGGACAUAAAGAAUGAGUCAGGUUGGGUUUCUGCAUGUUCCAUACCUGUCAUCUUUUGUGAACCAGUUGAAGGUUGGCUUCUCAAGGCACUCAUUCUUGGUGGUUAAAUUAUAAAAGAAUAUCUUCUUUUUGCCUCUAGUUAGGGCCUAAGGGUUCCUGAGGGGAGUGUGAGCUAGAUUUUUGCUCUAUACAUUCAUUCUGGAUGGAAAAUCUUUCUACAAAAAUACUCAACCCUAUUUUGAGACCCUGAUUUUGUAGGAUCAGUGAAGGGCAUGAUUGUCUGGUUCAAGGAAGGAGAACAGGUGUGUGUUUAUAGAACAGAUCAGUUUGUUUCAGAUUGGUAUUUUUCUUUGGAAGUUUCAGUGAACCAGAAGUCCCAGCACCUUCAUGCUCCUGGACGUUCAUUGAGGCUCCACUACAUGAAGGAACAUUACUGAUAGAAACAGUCUAAUUAGAAAAUAUAAGAUCUGGUCCAGACAGAAUGGCAUUUAUUUAAUGAUGCUCUGAGGGAGACGUGGGCAAGUACAUGAAGCCUAGGAAGAGAUCUAGAUGAGUAACUAAGAAAUUAUUCAUAAGAGAAAUCAAUUGUUGUAGGAUUUUUUACUUAUCAACAUGGACCUUGAUAACUGAUAGCAAACCUCUCAAAACUGUUUUUGGACAAAGCAUAAUAAGGUCACAAUAAAUGACUCCAAGUUUCACAUUUGGUACUAGGCUUGGAUAACUCUUUAACUCGUUAAUAAUAGUUUAUAUUUAUCUAUUCUUAUUUAUUACUGAAUCAACUUAGAGUUCCCUAUUUCUGAUUUACAUUGACUAGAUUUGCAUCUGUUGCUGUCCGUUUCCUGGUUUAAAAAACUCAGAAAUGGUCGUGAUGAGGACCAAGGUAGAAAUUGUGAAGCAAACUGCACACACACUGCAGAGAAUGGGUCUUUCAUAAAUGGAGUUAUUGUUACCCUUCUUAUGGCAGUGAUCAAUGGAAGAGACUUCGGAGAGUGAACAGCUGGUGGCACUAUAUUGCAGUGUUUAAAACUUUGGGAGGAACUGAGUGGAAGAAGUGAGUCACCAGAGGUGUGUCUCUGAAGGUUAUACCUGAUUCAAAUCCCCUUCCUCACUGGUUGCUUUCUGACUGACAAAGUGGGGGAAGGACCUCUGUCCUAGCUCUUGGGGCAAGGGACCAAGGUCUGAACCUUCAGAAAUUGAUUACAACCCAUGACUCAUCUUGCUUCAAGAGCUCAUACUUGCUACCCUGGUAUCAUCACUGUAUUAUUUUCAAACAAAUCCUGAACAUUUUAGCAUCUGUGCAUUGGUUGGUAUACAAAUUUUCUUUAUGUUUCAUACAUUUUUUAAACUUUUUUGUUCAA